rnacentral:rRNA from 1 species
UUGGAGAGUUUGAUCCUGGCUCAGGAUGAACGCUGGCGGCGUGCUUAACACAUGCAAGUCGAACGGAAAGGCCCUGCUUGCAGGGUACUCGAGUGGCGAACGGGUGAGUAACACGUGGGUGAUCUGCCCUGCACUUCGGGAUAAGCCUGGGAAACUGGGUCUAAUACUGGAUAUGACCUUUCUCCUUAUGGGGUUUGGUGGAAAGUUUUUCGGUGUAGGAUGAGCCCGCGGCCUAUCAGCUUGUUGGUGGGGUAAUGGCCUACCAAGGCGGCGACGGGUAGCCGGCCUGAGAGGGUGUACGGCCACAUUGGGACUGAGAUACGGCCCAGACUCCUACGGGAGGCAGCAGUGGGAAUAUUGCACAAUGGGCGGAAGCCUGAUGCAGCAACGCCGCGUGCGGGAUGACGGCCUUCGGGUUGUAAACCUCUUUCAGCAGGGACGAAGCGAGAGUGACGGUACCUGCAGAAGAAGGACCGGCCAACUACGUGCCAGCAGCCGCGGUAAUACGUAGG